AUUGAACGCUGGCGGCAGGCCUAACACAUGCAAGUCGAGCGGAGCGGCGGACGGGUGAGUAAUGCCUAGGAAUCUGCCUGGUAGUAGGGGAUAACGUCCGGAAACGGGCGCUAAUACCGCAUACUAUCAGAUGAGCCUCGGUCGGAUUGGCUGGUUGGGGGGGUAAAGGCCUACCAAGGCGACGAUCCGUAACCGGUCUGAGAGGAUGAUCAGUCACUGUGGAAAUGGGACACUGUCCAAACCCCGACGUGAGGCAGUGUUGGGGAAUAUUCGACAAGGGGCGAAAGGCUAUACCGGCCAUGCCGGGUGAGUCAAGAAGGUCUUCGGAGCGUAAAGCACGUUAAUUUGGGAGGCGUUACCGACAGAAUAAGCACCGGCUAACUCUGUGCCAGCAGCCGCGGUAAUAC
rnacentral:rRNA from 1 species